AAUGCAAGCAGCUUGUUAGCUCCACGUGUUUUAUAGGUGUCCACCCAAGCAGAAGGUCACAGCAGGCACUGCACUUAGGAGUAUUUUAGUUAUGCAGGUAACGCAAUUAACGUAGCAAUAAUUCAGGCAGGAGGGUUAACCAACUAAAUAUACAUAGCCUGGAAUAGCACAUUACUGGGAAACAGGAUGUUUAUGUGAAAAUAAGGAAAGCAUUCAGAUCCUGGCAUUUACUGUACAGUAUCAACUGGGGGGUGACAUGAGCAAGCCAUCAACAAUUAGAUGCUGUCAUCGGGAAUGUGAAUCACUUCAGAAAGGGGUGAUAUGCUCCUGUGGGGCUGCAGUGAAUGGCCACGCUGCUAAGGAGUGAUGUGCAGAAGGUUGGAGGGACCUCAGAGCAGGUCUCAGAGGCAGGAACUCUUCCUUGGAUGACUGAGAGCCAGCCCUGGCAGGGAAUGCUAUUCAUGUCAGACAGAAGCAGAUCAGGAGGAUUUUGCCGGCACUGACGCAAGGGCAAGCAAAUUUGGAACUAUUAUUUUUGAGAAGUACUCCUGUGGAAGAAGCACUUUCCUGCCCCACCCAAGUGCUGUCCAGCUGAACACUAUAUUUAGUAAAUUGAGAUUAUCUGUCCAGGGAAGAAAAACAGAUUCUGACUCUUAUUGUUUCAAAUUCAAAAAAGCAUAGAAAGUAAAGAUGGAAGUCGUUGGCACUAAGAUGCUACUGUACGAGCAAAAAAAACCCAGCAGAGCAGCAUUUGUCUUGCUGCAGCUGCCCUCCACCUCUCCAAACAGAUUCCAAUAUCCAGAAGGAGUACUAACACUUUUCAGCCUCACAGCUCUCUCUGCCAGGAAGCUUUUCCAAACAUCUAGUUGAAACGUUCCUUUUUUCCUCUCUUUGAUUAAGGAUAGUUCCACUCCCUCUCUAGCAUUUAGACUCUUAAAAUGGCUGCAGAUUGCUUGAAUUCCAGCCCUCCCUGUCUUGAAAAUCUUCCCAAGAGCUGAACAGCUUGCACUGAUUUUCCCCGAACUUCCAGUUCAUCAACUUUUUUUUCUGGUAAUGAGGUCCUUGGAGGUGGAAGGCAGCGUUCCAGCUGCAGCUGCAACAAGCAGGCAGAUGAAAGCCAUCGCAGCCCCGGGACGCGGUGCCUCCGCAGAGGCCCCAGCAGAUUUUCUGCUGUCGCAGCAUUUCGUCAGCGCGUGUCCACUUGGUGAUCUCCUGUGAGCUGUGGGGUGUGUCACCGCUCCUGCUCCCUCAGUCUGCCCCUCUUACUGCUCGUUGCCUGCAACUAAGAACUAAAAACCUCGGCUGUGUUUUUCUAACAGAUUGCUGAUGAAGGUAAAGGCUGAGAAGGACACGUGCUCUUCUCAUCUAUGGAACUUGACGGUGCUCCGGUCAGUCUUCAGUCCACGUGAUCAUCAGCCUAAGCUCCAUUUCAGAUCUCAGCUAUAUUGGUAAAGCAAGUCAAACCUAGAAUUAUUAAGUCUGGAAGAAUUAUGGCCCAAGAAAAAUGCAAGACAGAGCUUACAAUGGUUCAUCCUUAAAAGAUGCUCGCUCCAUUCAGUAGUUUUACUGCAAUAUAUAUCCUGUACAGCAGUCAAGAAAACAGACAAAUUGAUUUGCUAUAAACUUAUACUGCUGUGGCUCUUGGGACUCUCAUUUUCUGACACUGGAUUCUGCCACACUCAUUCUCAUCUACACUUCAAGGACCAUGAAAACAGCUCAUAGGACUGAUAAGCCUACAGAAUUCACACUGAUAGCAGAGAAAGAUUCCACGCGAUGUGGCACAGUAAUUGUGCAGCACUGGGUUGUGCAACACUGGAAGGGACGCCUACUUCUCUAGGAUAAAAACACAACUUCAAGGAAAUAAUGUGGCUGUGGGAAAGACCUGCACAAACAGGGGAAACUGACUAACCGGGAAGCAGCAAAGGAGAUGAGACGCAACGUGCUGUCAAGCACAUUCACUCAGUAAAGGAGGAAAAAGAAAAUGUUUUUCCUGAUCUACUUUAAAAUCAGAUUAUAUUUUUGUUUGCAACUAUAACCAGUAGAAAAUUUUCAGGUGGAAAUCAAUAGAAAUGUGUGACCUACACUUCAUAAACACCAAGAUGUAUAGAGGAAAUAAAGCAGGAUCAGAAGUAAUCCAUCAGGGAUGAACUUCAGGUCGCUCAGAAGUUUUGCUUCCUAAAGCAAACAGAUGUCUCUGAAUAUGUUACCAAAUUCCUUACAUCUGCUUGUCCACGCUGAACGUGGUUCAAACACAGCCUCCCCAGGCUCUCUGCUGACAUAUCCCAGUCCCCUCCAGAAAGAAAUGCCAAAAGGAAUAUGGAAACGGAAUGCAGGAACUUCUGAACUGGAAACUCAGAGCUACAUCCUUCUGAGAGUACGCGUACGCACCUCUAUCCAACACAGAAGCACCGAUUUCCACCAGCAGAAGAUGCAGCCAUUCUCAUUUUUGUAAAGGCUUAACUGUUUUUUUCUUUUAAGCAAGCCUCUGCCUACACCCAGAACUGGGGACAGCAGGAAAAACACCUUUAAAGGACAUUCAGGUCACGUUAGGUACUGUCACCUGGCUUAGAUCAACAAAGACAGAAAUUUCUGUCACUAGUACAAGAUGUCAGAUGUAGCGUGCAUGAAUGGCUGCGCUUCACGACACACAGGGAAAAGGCAUCUACUUCCCAAAAGCUGCAGCAUGUCAGAAGAAGCUGCCAACACCUGAAGGAACACAGGCUUGUGCUGUGCUGUGUCAAACAAACAGUGCAUUUCAAAAUCAAAAUCUUUAAGAGCCUCGACAGCUUGCAGCUCCCUGAAUGCAAGAAGAUGAGAGUUCAUGGACUUGAACAGAGACAAGAGGGUAAGAAAUUGUAUUUAGCCUAUGGUGAGCAGAAAAUUCUGAAAGGAAAUUAACUAAAUAGUACAUUUUGUACAAAGUUAAAAAUGCUAGUGUGCAGAGAAACACCAGACUUGGUGACAAAAGAAAGUAGAAUCAUCUAGGUUGGAAAAGACCUUCAAGAUUACCAAGUCCACCAACCUGACCACCGAAUCCCAUCACUAAAGCACGUCCCUCAGUGCUAUGUCCACGUUGCUUAAAUACCUGCAGGGAUGGUGACUCCACCUGCUCCCCAGGCAGCCAGCUCCAAUGGUUGGCCACCCUCUCUGGGAAGAAAUCCCUCUUGAUAUUCAGUCUAAACCUCCCCUUGUGCCAUUUGAAGACAUUGCCUUGCAUCCUUACCACUUGUCACCUGAGAACAGAGACCAACACCUCCUCACUGCAGCCUCCCAUCAGGUAGGUGUAGGGAGCAAUGAGACCCGCUUCCCUCAGGCACACCUCAGAGGCCUUCCUUUCCAGCCCCUUCACCAGCUUCACUGCUCUUCUCUGUACACACCUGUACACAACUCAAUACCUUUAUUGUAGCGAGGGGACCAAAAUCGAAAGCAGUAUUUGAGGCACGGUCUCACUACAUACAGUGGGAAAACCAUUUCCUGCUGUUACUUGUCGUCUAUUGGCAGCAUUAUGCUUUUGUGAAUGGCGAUGGCCCCUGACAACUUCUAAACUCAGUGUGAGCUGCUGUUGCCCAAGGGAUUCCUCUCUAGGAGCUCCUGUCCCACACACAAACUGCCAGCAUGUCACCCCUGGCACCUGCGCCAUCCUUAUGCCAUAGAACACAACGCACCUCUGCUCUGAAAAGCUGGAGCUCUGCCGUUCCACGUGUUCCUCCUCCACUCCAGCCCAUACACAGAACUAACCUGACAGGCCCCAGCAGCCAGCAACCAACUGGGUGGAACAGAAACAGAGGAAGAAACGCUCUGGGAUUGGUUUGAUUUUGUUAUUCCAGGGCACCAAUCCCCUCCAGACAGUCAGAGGGGCCCAGGCAAGCUCUGCCUUCUGUACAGACCCAGCUGGGCAGGAGAUGAGGAGCACACAUUAGACAUGCAGCACUGAGGCCAAAUUGGACAGAACACACUGAAUUUAUAAAUGUUCACAGCUGGGCAGUGCUUGCAUGCGUUCAUCCAAAGCAAGCGACAUGCUAAGAGCAGUCCACCAGCAUG